rnacentral:snRNA from 1 species
GUGCUUGCUUCAGCAGCACGUAUACUAAAAUUGAAACAAUACGGAGAUUACCAUGAUCCCUGCACAAGGAUGACACACAAAUUAACGAAGCAUUUCAUAUUUUU